ACGGCCUGUCCCUCACAGCCUGUCCCUCACGGCCGCUCCUUCACAGCCAGUCCCUCACGGCCGGUCCCUCACGGCCCGCUUCAUUUCUGGCUCGAGGUGAAUCCCGCCGUUACCCCCACUUCUGCCUUCCCUGUCCCCCGGAACGCCGGGAUGCGGGAUGCUGUUCCCCCCCGCACUUCCCUGGCCCCCCGCCGAGCAUCUGGGCUGGCGCGGCGCUGGUGGCGUAGCUGGGGAGAGGCACGGAAAAGAGGGGGAGCUUCGGGGAUGCGGAGCCAGGCGCUGCCUCACAAAGUUGUGACUUGCAGAAGCGCAAGGUAAUAGAAGGGAGAAUUCCCCCUCCCUCUCCUGCCAGCUGCCGGUUUGUCGGCUGCUCCCAUCCCGGUGUAAUUCUUCCCCCUAGUUUUCAGUCAUGGAAUAGGUGCCGUUAAAGCAGGAGCUGCUGCAGAGCCUCGGAGGCAGCCCCUGGCCCCGGCUGGGCUGGUUUUGGGGUGCAGACGAGCUGGCGGAGGAGCCGGGGGAGCGGAGGGAGGCUGGAGGAGGCGGCGGGGCUGCCCGGCGUGCCCAGAUGUCCUCGGCAGUACGUGCCCCCAUCCACUGCUCCGUGACUCAUUCCUUCGCUGCUGAAUGCAGGCAAUUGUCACAUCUCCACGGAGCCAGUAAAAUCAGGGAACACGCACCGAGCGGCUCCUCUCCGGGCGGUACAAGUCCUCCAUCCCGCGGCCCUUCCCCAGGGCCUCGUCGGCUGAGGCAGCGGGAGGAAGAGAAGGAGUUCGGAGCUCCGGGGAACAGCUCAGGGGUCAUUUCGUCCCUCAGGAGACAGAAAAGGCUUGCAAAGUGUGAAUGGGGUGUGGGGCACAACUGAACCCCUUCCAGCCCCCCGCAGCAAGAGCAGUGUCAGGAUUUACACCCCAGAGCGGUGCCACGCAGAGCCACUGGGAUCCAGCACAGUCGGCUGGGCCUCCCCCUGCCAGCAGCCUCCACCACCGCCCCAUUCCCACUGUUCGCUCCGAUUCCUGCUUCCACGCUCUGUUUUCACACGGAUGGGAACGUUCCAUCCCUUCUGACUUUACACAGGUGUCAUAUUUGUUGCCGAGCACCCAUAAUUUUGGGAGGAGUGUUUGCACUGCAAAUGGAAACCUGUCAUUUCUCUACAUCUCCCUUCCCCAGCUCAUUCCAUCAGCUAAUUCCAUCAGCCAUUGCAGCUGGAGGUUUCACGUCUCCUCUGUUAAGUCAGGACAAUGCUGCUCGGAUUAAAACUGAAACGUGCAUCAAAAAUCCCAUAACCACCUACAAUUUCCCCCUUUCUCCCUAAAAUCUCAGCAGGAGCCAUCAAAAGGAGGUGAAUGGUACAGAAAGUGGAAUAUUAAGCCUUUUCCCGUGCUGUGGCACCGUGGACACAAGCAGGACAAACAGAGCCUUCCCUGCUGCACAGCCACAUCCAUUUUUAAAAAUGGGCCUUCUGUGCUUUCUUUUUUCAGCUCCAUCUCCCCAAACCAAGGGAAAGAUGUUCUCAGUUAGCGGGAUUAAAAAGCAAAGUGUGGCACAAGUAUCCUGGCAGCCUCGGCAGCGCUUCCCUAAAACUGUCUGCCACGGGCACAGCUGAAAUGAAGUUGGAUUUAAUGGCAGAACAACACCAGAAAAUGGAGCUGGGGAAAAAAAAUACCAACCCAAACCCAUCAUUUUUGGAAUGGAUUGAAUGAGAAAGGUCCCCACGGCCACAUGGAGAGGCAGAUGCAGAUGAGGAUGGAAGCUCUGCCUUCCAAUGCUGGGAGAGGCAGGAUGACCACGGGCAGGAGGAGGAUGGAGAUAUCCCACUCCAAAGCUGUCGCUUGGCUGUUUGCACGCUCGGGGCACCAGCUUGUGAUGUCCUGACAAUCAAUCCAGACAAACACGGAGCGACGGUUCCCCUCCCGCCCCGCUCCUGGUCCGCACAGCCCGGGAUCUUCUCCUGCCCCUCAGCUGGAGCACGAGAGAACAGCCAUCUGGAAAUUAAUUUGGAACAAAGUCUCCUGGUCCGCGUUCCCCGCCGGAGGGACCGUCAGCAGCUCCCGCGGCAGCGGCGUCGUUGUGCUGACUACACACAGUGUAAUGAUUUCCAUCCAUCUCGGGAGCCCGGGCAGCGUUCCUGGCACACCACACCUGUGCCUGGGACGGGGACUGCAGUAAUUGCCGCGUCCUUCCCGCUCCCUCCCAGCCGGCAGGACGGCCCUAAUCAAGAUGCAUGGCCCGCUGGCAUCCAGCUGCUCCCGCAUCCCUGCUCCGGCCCACGCACCUUAACCCCUCCUGCUGCGCUUCCAGCCCGAACCAGCGGCACAACUCCCUCGGGAGCGAGGGCAGGGAAUUGUGUUGUUUGUUACUGUUGCUGGAUCGGGAAUGUGUUACACUCCCCCCACCGGGAGUGAGGCACGUGGGGCUUUAACCAGUUGUAGUUCCCUCAUUCCUGGAUCAGGGAUGGGCUCAGGCCAGAGAGCCACAGAAUCCCAGAGUGGUUUGGGCUGGACAGGAUUUUAAGGAUCAGCUCAUUCCCACCCUCUGCCAUGGGCAGGGGUACCUUCCACAGGAUCGAGUUGCUCCAAGGCCCGUGCAGCCUGGCCUGGAACACUUCCAGAGAUGUCCCUGCCCACGGCAGGGCGAUGGAAGAGAUGAUGUGUAAAGGGCCCUUCCAACCCAGACCAUUCUGGGAUUCACUUGGAUUCUUUGGAAAUGCUCCCACAGGGAAAAAUUCCCUGAGGCAGAAACAAGGGAUGGUAAUUCAAGACAUCCAGAACUCAGCAGGAUCCUUCUCAGAAACUAAUUUGACCCCAAACCCCUAAUUUUUGAUCGAAUUGGACCCUCCUGUGCCUCCCCGGGAGACCCUAAGUGCUCCCAGCCACCAUCCAGGGAAAUACAAUAUCCCACAGAAAUUGUACUUCUGGGAGAAAAAUAGAGAGACUCCUGCAGCACCUUCCAGCUCUUUACAUGGACUCGGGAAUCCGAGGGAUUAGGGGUGGUUUAGCCCUAUAAGCCCAGCACAGGCUGCUACAAACAGCACUUCAAACUCCUAAUUUCCCAAAAUCUCCAUAUUACCCGGUCAAGAUCUUUAAGCAACCAGCAGAUUUCCCCAGAUUGUUGCCCAGAGCUGUUAAUCCCACGUUUCAUCCUCUCCUGGGGGUUUUGCAGAGGCUGAGAAAUGUAAUCCUAAUUUAAUCCUGACUCUGGAAAGCAGUGGGGAAGGUGGAGGGGCAGAUCUGGAGUGGGAAGAUCCCCACGGGUGAGGGGGCACAGCCGUGGGGUUCAGUGUGAAAGGCUCCCCAGAAACCCCCUUUGUAUUCCCAAGGUAUUCCCAGGGACCCCACAGCCCUGCCAGGGGGAAAGGCCACAGGAGAUCUGAGAGACACUGAGGGAUUUACCCCCAGGGCACCCCAUGGGGAGGUGGGAUGAGAGAUGCCAGGGAAGCUGGAGGGUGAGUGGACAGCCUGGGUGUCCCUGAGGACAGUCUUUGAGGCAACACAAGUCGUUCAGUCACCGAUCUGAGCUGAUGCCAAUGUAAAUAUUAUCAGGUCCCCACGGGCCUGACAUACCCUGAAUAUUCCAAGAACUUUUAUUCUCCUUGUGACCCACCACAUCUGUCCUUUGCACUGAAAAUUCGUCCUUUCUGGGAGUGGGAAGAAUGGAUCAGGAUGGAGAAAGUAAUCCAUCACUUUGCUGAUCCUGGUGUGCCCCUCCCAGCUCAGGAUAUUCUGUGAUCCUGUGACCUUCCCUCAUUCAUGUGGAGAAAAAUUCCUCGGCAGCAGUUGCGUCCAUGCAAAUUGCACUGAAAAAUUCCUCAGCAGCAGUUGUGUCCAUGCAAAUUCCACUGAAAAAUUCCUCAGCAGCAGUUGUGUCCAUGCAAAUUCCACUGAAAAAUUCCUCAGCAGCAGUUGUGUCCAUGCAAAUUGCACUGCUGGUUGCUGCUCUCUGCACGGAGUAACCCCAGUGCUCCACAUUCCCCUCCAUGCCCUCCCUCCGGAGCCAGCCCAGCUCCUGCCUGUCCCUGGCUGCCUCUGGUUCCACUGGGAGCAGGGAUCCCAAAUCCCAGCUCCUGCUGUCCCUGUCCAGCUGCAGCAGCCAGGACAAUGCACUGCAAAGCCUUUGUCCUGUUGAUUUUCUAUUGAAAGGGGGAAAAAGCUUAUUUAGGCUGCAAGUUCCGAAUGUUUGACUAUUGCUGCUGCUCAUUUCAGCUGCUUCAGGUGUUGAUAAUGGGAUAAGAGUGAUCAGCUGUUGAUGAGGUGUUUCUGGGUUUGUGGGGUGUUUUUUAGCCAAGAAAAAGCAGUAAGUGGGAAUGUGACAUCCCAAAAAGCAAGUGGAGAGAGGAACCCAAAGGCCUGAGCCUCCAACCCACUUACUAGAACCAGGAUUUACUGUGACUUUGUGCAGUGGGGGAUUAGUGGAAUGAAUCACCUUACUUCCCCUUAAGAUUUGCCUGGGCCUGUGAUUUGUGCCUGCUAAGCCGGUAUAAUGAUGAACAAUCCUUUUUAUUAAUGUGGCUAAAAAUAGCAAGUGCAGCAAGACCUUACAUAAACCAGGGGUAACACGUGCCAACUCCUGCCCAAAUCCCCGGCGAGCUGUCUCGGUCUGGGAGAUGUUGGCAUCACACAAGUUGACUAUUUUGAGAAAAGAGGGAAACACAGGAUAAAGCUACUCUGGUGCUGCACUUGAAGCACAAGGUCAUGACUUCCCUUGGCAUGUUUUUCCCACAAGAUAACGUGCUGGGUUUGGGGCUGUGUGGGUGGAGGAGCAGCACAUGCACGUGGGCACUGAUAGACCCCCACAAACACAACCCCAAAAACACAGCCCCCAAAAAUACA